rnacentral:piRNA from 1 species
CAUAAGGAAUGGGGUGAAGCAAGGAGGG